AGUAACACGUGAGUAACCUGCCCUUAACUCUGGGAUAAGCCUGGGAAACUGGGUCUAAUACCGGAUAGGAGCGUCCACCGCAUGGGGGGUGUUGGAAAGAUUUAUCGGUUUUGGAUGGACUCGCGGCCUAUCAGCUUGUUGGUGAGGUAAUGGCUCACCAAGGCGACGACGGGUAGCCGGCCUGAGAGGGUGACCGGCCACACUGGGACUGAGACACGGCCCAAACUCCUACGGGAGGCAGCAGUGGGGAAUAUUGCACAAUGGGCGCAAGCCUGAUGCAGCGACGCCGCGAGAGGGAAGACGGCCUUCGGGUUGUAA
rnacentral:rRNA from 1 species